GAAGUUGGUUUACAAGUCUAAUACUCAUCUGGAAGUUUCGAAGCAAGACCUGAUGGGUCGGGGUGAGGAUAGGGUGCCCUCUUCUCGAUAUUGGAAGGAGCUAUAAGUAGGCUCGUAUGGUGCGCACGAGCCUGUGCCAUACCUUGUCGAAGGCCUUCGCGACACGGCUGAUGUGGUAGCAUGGAAUUGACGCCGUAUGAGGAUGUACUCGUUAUUACAUCAAUUUUAGUAAUUGUUGCUUGGGCAAAUACACUACCACUGAAAUUGUGUAACUUUCUGUGUACACAAUAAGUAAUGUUCGAUUCGCCCCGGGAUCUGCCAAACAGGAAAUGAGAAGUAAACCAGGGAAAGCGGCAGCCGAUAUCAACCUGAACCGCACCUGAAAGUAUUUUUGGUAGUGCUGAGACAAUCAAAAAUAAGAGAUUACUACAGAGGCAGACAGAGCGGGAUUUUAUAGCGGGAAAAUAAUUACAGAUCAUAGCGUAGUGACACUUGAGUUUUUGACAGCUGCGUGACACAGUGACGUGUUCUUUAUUUCAAUUAAUUCAUUCAACACUGCUUACUAUAUAACUUUAACCUUAUAAUAAUUUGUAUAAGGGGUUAUGCAUUUUGCAAAAGUGAACAAUUUUUGAAUUAAAAUAAUUUAAAAAUGCAACGGCAAAAAAUUAUUUAAAAAAGUAUCAAUUUAAGUCUUUUUUGAGUCGUAUAACCGAUUAAAACAAUAAUUACCGAUCUAGAUUAUAAAACGCGAGACGAGAAACUAAUUCAUUUAAAUAUUUUCUUGAGAUUUUUUUCCACUAAAAUGCCUUUUAAACAAAAAAGACGUUAUGACACAAUUAUCAUAUUUGCAAAUCAAUAAUUGCAGAUUAUAUAAAAAACACAAACGCUUUCCUAACUCUUCAGCAAUGCAUAGCAACUACGAACAUAUUUCGGCGGACUUACGUAUUCAAACUAAAAUUAAAGGGCGUUCUUUAAAAUUUCCAUGAAAUUAAUUAUAAAUAAAACGCAAUUUAAAUUAAACAAAAAAUACAAAUUUCAAAUAAAAUUUAGAACCAGUUACAGUUUUGUAAUCAUAUUAAUUAAAAACAAAUAAUUAGUGACAAUAGGGUAUAUGCAUGAUUUUUGACAAUACUUAAAUUUGAGUUUUGACAUCCUAAGAGUUACCAUGCACAUUAAAUUAUGGAUAAGAACUUUCUUAUUGGCAAAAUAUUUCGGCUAUUUAAAUGCACCAACCCUGAGAAGAGAUGAAGUAUCCCAUUAACUUGUUUAUAUUGUUGUGGAGACCAUUUUCAAGUGAGUUUAAUAAAUAUGUUAUUUUAUAUAA